GGGCUCUUGGCACAGGGGUAGCGCGCCUGCUUUGCAUUGCGAUAGCAUGCUUGCAUGAGGUCGUGGGUUCAAAUCCCACAGUGUCCA